UACGUAGGGGGCAAGCGUUGUCCGGAUUUACUGGGCGUAAAGGGUUCGUAGGUGGCCAACUAAGUCAGACGUGAAAUCCCUCAGCUUAACUGGGGAACUGCGUCUGAUACUGGAUGGCUUGAGUGCAGGAGAGGAAUGCGGAAUUCCAGGUGUAGCGGUGAAAUGCGUAGAUAUCUGGAGGAACACCGGUGGCGAAGGCGGCAUUCUGGACUGCAACUGACACUGAGGAACGAAAGCCAGGGGAGCAAACGGG
rnacentral:rRNA from 1 species